CUCUCAUCAGCUCAUUGCUGCUACCCAAGCACCUGUAGACAUGGAACCAAUGUUCAACAUUCUUCUCUAUCCCUUCACUAGAUUUGUGAUCCUCCUUGCAUUCCUUACCCUUUGGUUCGUAAAACCACAAGCCAUAGAGUAGGAAAAUAUUUACCAGAAAGAGAAAAGGAGUAAGCUUAAUAUAUAGUUCAUUAUGCCUUGAGAACAAAUUCAACAAUUUUUGUAGCCCCUUAUUCAGUUUAUCAGGUUUACUAUUUCUUACCUCCAAUUUUAUAUAUACUUCGGGCAGCGCCCCAACGCUCCAAGAACUUGUUGGCUAGCCUAUCAGAGUAUGUCAAGUUUGGAUCCAUAGUUGGGCCUACCGCAAUGAUACCCAAUCAGAAGAUUCAUAGCUAAAGUUUUCUAUAAUCUAAAAGAAAUCACUAGACAAUUUAAUUUUGGAUGAUAUUAGUUUGACUCCUAGAUGCUCUAAUCAGUCAAUACUAAAAACAUCUUAGGAUUUUAUUGAUACAUCAAACAACAAGCAAUGGUUAUGAAAAGUACACGAACAAAAGACAUAUGCAAAGAUAAAUGCAAUGUAGAAUCUUCUACACAUAAUAUACAAUACUUUAAAGCAUGAAUUGACGUACUCGACUGGAUACAUUCUAGUUUAUAGAACUCUUGUACACAAAAUACUUGACUUCACCCUCCUACAAAAUAACAUCAAUCAAACACAAACUACUGCUCAAUAGAGACAGGUAAAUGCCAAGUUAACAUUAGCAUGGAAAUCAAGAUAAAAUGCCAUAAUUUGCACCCAAAAAAAGAGAUUAUUGCUAUUCAAUACAGAAAAGUGAAGUAUCAUGCGAGAGGUUGAUGAAGCACUUUUUCAAGAAACUCAACACAAGAAAACUGAGCAUAAUUGAAGAAAAGGGUAUACCCUUAAUUGAUCUCUCACUGGUUCUAACCUCUGACCCCUCCAACUCCUUACAUUAUAAAAUCUUGUAGCAGAGUUAUGCUAACCGGGUAUGUUUUCAAGUGAUAAACCAUGAAGUUCCAUCAGUAUGCCGUGAAAAGAUAGAUGGAGAAAUUUUUCUUACAACCCAUAGUGGAGAAGUGACUACAGAUUAAACCUGUGAUAUAUGUUUCUAUAAUACAGAAACCCAUAAUAAGAAUGUUAGGGGUGGGAAAGAAUUUUUGAUUUUCUACAGUCUAGCAACUAUAGAUAUGAAACUCAAUAUUUAAAACUCAGAAUAACAUUCAUAAUCCACAAAAACACUACAAGUCAUUUUAUUUAGCUAUUGUCAUCCCUGAAAAGAAUCCACCUAACUUAGUAUAAGAGAGAUUAACUGAUAGAAAAUGGGCUAUAUUCAUUCUAGUUCUAUUCUUUUAGGAUUCCAAGAAAGAGAUGGGAGAAGAAGAGAUAGAGUUUCUUGAAUUACAUCAUAAAAUGCUGGAGGAGCAAAGUGAAUUGAUCAGAUUCAAAAAAGGAGCAGAGUCAUUGAUAAGAUUGACCUGCAACUAGCAAAGGAUUUUAUAUAUAACUACUGCAUCCUAAGAAGUUUAAUAUAUUUAAUUAGAAAUAGAAGAUAAUAACCAAUCACGAAAACAUAAAUCACAACUGCUACAAGGAACUCGGUAAUAGAAAAGCGAGUGAGUUAUUUUUUCUUAAGCAUAUGACAGUUAAAAUUCAAUCUAUCUAAUUCCAACAAGAUAGAGUUAGAAUAUUCUCUCUAGAAAUAUAUAGAUCAGACGAAAUUGUGUAACAACCAGAAUUAUUCAACAUAAAUAGUAAUUUAUAUAUACUAUAUUGAUCUCAACAACUAGAAUAUUGCAACUCUAGAACGUAAACAACAAAUGAAAAUGGCAGAACUACAUAAAUAUGAUAGGUAACCAGAAAGGGGAUAGGGAAUUAGAUUGAUUCAGAAAAGGACUUGAGAAGCACAAACUUUGGCUAAGCAUGAUCACAAUACACAUAAUUUUAAAAACUGCUAAUGACACCCCCUUUAUCCUUUUGUCACAUGCUUCCUAACUCAACCUGGAUUCCAAGCAAAUGUCUUCUUGGGCUGUCUAAUUCCUUGGCAUUUUGCUGUUUAGCACCAUGCCCAAUAGCUUGGCCAACCUUUGUCCAAACAACCGGCCCAUAAACAUAUCGGAGUUAUCCUUGUUAACAACAAAGUGGUAGAGGUACAAAGUUAUAAUACAUGUGCAGAUUAAAGUUGGAAAAAUAGUUAUAAGUUUAAUAUCCAACUAUUUUAUAUUUUGAACAAACUCUAACAAAAAAAGGAACUAAAGAGAGUAGAUAAUUGCAUUGGGUCAGCCACUCUAUGAAAGAAAUUCAAACAUUAAUCUCACUCUUUAGAUUAAGAACCACUCAAUUUUGAGGUAUAUUUUUGUAAAUGGCACAUUUAAGUAAGACAUACUAAUGAAUAUCCCUUGUUCCAGCUCAAGAGACUUCAAUAUAUGUAGCAUUUGAAGACUACUCAGCAUUUUCAAUUAUGUCGAAGAAUAUAGAGCAUUUCCCCUGUUAAUAAUUCAGUUUUGUUAAUCGACAAAGUGAGCAAAGUGUAUACUAGAAUUUUGUUAACUUAACCAUAAAAUAUGCAACUUUCAACAAGUAUAUUGCGUAUAAUUACAAUAAUAGCUUAAUAAUCUGUUCACAAAAGGAUAGUACCUCCAUGUUUCGAUCUUGAGCAUUUCAACCAAUAGCAAUGUAACAUCCAUCUGAAAUAAUCAUCUCACAACAAAUAUCUCGACUCUGCCACUGUAAUCAUUAGAAGUUAAAAUUGACAAACCCUAGUUGCUUUAAAAAGAUCAAAUAUGUUAUGCGCAUUCGCUUAGAAAGUAAUGAAAAUUUGCAUAGAUGUUCAACUUAGCAAUCACAUAGCACUAAUUGAAGCAAAUCAAACAGAGAAUGUUUGAGAUAACCAAAUCGCAUUUGACGAACAGAGCAAACAAAAUCACGAAGAACAGAAAACAUAAUAUAAACAAUUGUGCAUGUGAUUCUACAAUUCUAAGAGGCAGGGAAAGUACAACGCGUGGCGAACGAAGAGUGUGAUUCUUAUUCUGCAAGUUGACGGGCGGCGGCGAUGGAAUGGAGGAACAUACGACGAUGGUGGGAGCGGAGGCAUUUUGGUGAGCAGGACAAAGGGAGGGAAUUUUUGAACAGUAAAAAGGAAUUGGAGAGAAGUGCACAAUUAUUAAAGUGGUCUCUCGAUUAUUAAUUUUUGCAAGCCAUAUGUCUUAUUUGC
rnacentral:lncRNA from 1 species